CGAACGGGGAGCAGCCCGGAGUCUGAAUCAGCUUGUGUGUUAGUGGAACGGUCUGGAAAGUCCGACGGUACAGGGUGAUAGUCCCGUACACGAAAAUGCACAUGCUGUGAACUCGAAGAGUAGGGCGGGACACGUGGUAUCCUGUCUGAAUAUGGGGGGACCAUCCUCCAAGGCUAAAUACUCCUGACUGACCGAUAGUGAACCAGUACCGUGAGGGAAAGGCGAAAAGAACCCCGGCGAGGGGAGUGAAAAAGAACCUGAAACCGUGUACGUACAAGCAGUGGGAGCACCUUCGGGUGUGACUGCGUACCUUUUGUAUAAUGGGUCAGCGACUUAUAUUCUGUAGCAAGGUUAACCGUAUAGGGGAGCCGAAGGGAAACCGAGUCUUAACUGGGCGUUAAGUUGCAGGGUAUAGACCCGAAACCCGGUGAUCUAGCCAUGGGCAGGUUGAAGGUUGGGUAACACUAACUGGAGGACCGAACCGACUAAUGUUGAAAAAUUAGCGGAUGACCUGUGGCUGGGGGUGAAAGGCCAAUCAAACCGGGAGAUAGCUGGUUCUCCCCGAAAGCUAUUUAGGUAGCGCCUCGUGAACUCAUCUUCGGGGGUAGAGCACUGUUUCGGCUAGGGGGCCAUCCCGGCUUACCAACCCGAUGCAAACUACGAAUACCGAAGAAUGUUAUCACGGGAGACACACGGCGGGUGCUAACGUCCGUCGUGAAGAGGGAAACAACCCAGACCGCCAGCUAAGGUCCCAAAGUCAUGGUUAAGUGGGAAACGAUGUGGGAAGGCACAGACAGCCAGGAUGUUGGCUUAGAAGCAGCCAUCAUUUAAAGAAAGCGUAAUAGCUCACUGGUCGAGUCGGCCUGCGCGGAAGAUGUAACGGGGCUAAACCAUG
rnacentral:rRNA from 1 species